AUGUUGUGAAGGUUAAAGCCUCCUUAGCAACUGUUACAAUGGUUUUUACUGAAUUAGCAAUACCCUGAGGGGAUAACAUGGUGGGGAUCUGUCAGGCAAAACAAUGAUCAUUUAGACCAUAGUGUCAGCAAUGGAGCAGAGCAGGGGGUGGGGGGGGGGGGUGGGGGCUGGCAUCAAGACCGGACAUUUCUUUUUUUUUUUUACUUCUUCAAAUAUGCCAUUCCAUUCCCUCCUUGCCUCUAGAGUUUUUGAUGAGAAAUCUGAUGAAAGCCUCAUGGUUCUGCCUUUGUAUGUGACUUUCUUGCUUUCCCUGGCAGCCUGCAAUACUUUUUUUGUUCCUUGUCCCUGAUUUUGGACAAUUUUGCAGUGAUAUGUCUUGGUGUGUUUUGUUUUGAAUUCAAAAAUGUAGGUGUUCAUUUACCUUCUUGGAUUUCUAUAUUUUGAACAUUGCUGAAGUAUGGAAUAUACUUUCUGCCAAAAUUUCAUUGUAUGUGUUCUCUGCUCCUCUCUGCCUCUCUUCUUGAUGACAGAGGGGAGAUUUUUAUCCUGAGUCACCAGGCCAGUUCAGUGACCUUGAUUCACUAUAUAGUUUCUGUGGGACAACAGCACGGGGCACUCAGGAAGUCACAGUUGUAAACUGAUUUACCUAUUCUGGAUAUUUCAUAUAAAAGGAUGAUCUCAGGACCAAAAGAUAGUUCACUGGGUAGAGUGCACACAUACCCUGGUUUGAGCCCUUGCCAUCACAAUGGAGGAAGCACCUUGCAAAGAAGAAACUUCAUAAGCUGUUAAGUGACACAAUGGUACUUCUUUUUCUUUCACUCUAUGUCUUACUACCUAAAAAGAAAAAAAAAAAACAAAGAAAAGGCAAGUAUCCACUAGGAACAAUGGAAUUGCCCAGGUGUGAGACCGUCAGUACUAAAAUAAAAUAAAGCAUCUACUUUAUGAUA